UACGUAGGGUGCGAGCGUUGUCCGGAAUUAUUGGGCGUAAAGGGCUCGUAGGCGGUUUGUCGCGUCGGGAGUGAAAUCCACUGGCUUAACUGGUGGCUUGCUUCGAUACGGGCAGACUGGAGGUAUGCAGGGGAGAACGGAAUUCCUGGUGUAGCGGUGAAAUGCGCAGAUAUCAGGAGGAACACCAGUGGCGAAGGCGACUACCUGGCCUGUUCUUGACGCUGAGGCGCGAAAGCUAGGGGAGCAAACGGG
rnacentral:rRNA from 1 species